rnacentral:rRNA from 1 species
CCACGCCGUAAACGAUGAAUACUAGGUGUAGGGGGUGUCAACUCCCCCUGUGCCGCCGCUAACGCAUUAAGUAUUCCGCCUGGGGAGUACGGUCGCAAGAUUAAAACUCAAAGGAAUUGACGGGGGCCCGCACAAGUAGCGGAGCAUGUGGUUUAAUUCGACGCAACGCGAAGAACCUUACCUAGACUUGACAUCUUCUGCAUUACCCUUAAUCGGGGAAGUCCUUUCGGGGACAGAAUGACAGGUGGUGCAUGGUUGU